ensembl:lncRNA
CAGUAACCUAUUACAUUUCAAAAGUUACCUUCUCUAUACUGACCGUGACAAUCAGCAAUAACACCUCUUUGUACCGUACAUGUGUUGUUAUUUUGUCUGACAGCUCGUGUUGUGGUGAACCUGAGGGUUGUCAGUCUGGUGGAGAGCGUGGCCUUCCAAAGCUCCUCCUACAACUUCAGUUUACCUGAGAACCUGCCAGUGGGGGCGACGGUGGGAAAGGUCUGGGCCUCCUCAGGAAGCAACCUUUACGACGUGGCCUACGCACUGAAAACGUACACUGACCUGUUCUCCAUCGACACCAGUGGAGCCAUCCUGACUACUGCACAGCUGGACAAAGAAAAGCAGGAGUGGUACAUCCUGGACGUGGAGGCUGUGGACACACGGACUCCCCCUACAACAGCAAUGGCAACGGUCAGUGUUCAGGUGGAGGAUGUAAAUGAGCCUCCAUACUUUCCCCCUGAGGUUUAUGAAGCCUCUGUGUUAAGCAUUGCCCCGUAUAAAACUCCUGUCAUCACCGUCAAGGCUUCAGACCCUGAUGUUGGAGAGGAGGGUCAGCUGAUCUACAGUCUGUCAGCUGGCAGCUCAUACUUUGACGUGGAGGCUUCCUCAGGUCAGGUGUACGUGGUGUCAGCAGCAGAUGUGGAUGGAGACACAGUAACAGUGGAGGUGAAGGCCACAGACCCCCAAGGACUUUUCGCUACGGUCACGGUGAAGGUGGUGGUUCAGGGAAGUGCGAGCAGCAAUGACGUGGUGACCAUCUCACUCAAUCAGCCUGCUAAUACUGUGGAGAAUAAAAUUCCAGAAUUGGAGAAUGCUUUAGGUAAAGCUCUGGGCUGGACAGUGAACAUCAUCCAGGUGUCCAAUGCUAACAGAGGAGCCACUAAGUCCCGAAUGCUGAGAAACUCUGUGAAGACUUUGGUCAGCUUCAUCACCGAAGAAAAUGGAGAGACAGUUUCCUCUCAAAAAGUCAUAAAGUAAGAGUUUGAGUUUUUAAGUCAUGUCUGAGGCCUGGGUGAAGUG